rnacentral:rRNA from 1 species
GACAGAGGGUGCAAACGUUGUUCGGAAUUACUGGGCGUAAAGCGCGUGUAGGCAGCUCGGAAAGUCGGAUGUGAAAGCCCUGGGCUCAACCUAGGAAGUGCAUUCGAAAACUUCCGAGCUGGAGUGCUGGAGAGGAAGGCGGAAUUCUCGGUGUAGAGGUGAAAUUCGUAGAUAUCGAGAGGAACACCUGUGGCGAAGGCGAGUCCCUGGACAACUUCUGACGCUGAGGCACGAAAGCUAGGGGAGCAAACAGG